AUUACUCGUCUUUAUCUAUGGAUUUGUCAACGGUAAACAUCAACAAAACAGAAACAUAUUGGAAAAAUCAAUGCCUGUAAGUAAAACAUGGAUUUAACAACGCUUUUCAAGGCCUGUGUUAAGACUGUAAAAGUAACCAACAAGAGCUUGGGGCUACAAGAGGCAAAAAGCAACAUUUUAAAAAUCAACCCUAAAGAUGGGAAUCUUACCAAAGCCAAGGAGAUCGUUAAGCACAUUUCCAGCCUGCAGACGUACCUGUUGGGAAACAAAGCGGCCUACUUGAACGUCCUUAACUAUUUGUCCACCAAUAAGACCAUGACAGAGAUUGAUAGGGAGAAUGUGGAUGAGAAGGCGAGGAGUAUUAUCAGCGCCUGCACAGACCUGAUUAAUGAGUACAAAAGGGAUAUUAGAGCAUUGCAAAUGAGCAAACAGAAGGAAGAGCACUAUCAAUGCAUCGUUGAGUCUUUGGAAGUGUAUUUGAAAAGCGUCUCCAAAAUAUAUGCGGAAGCAAAGGCAGUGAGAGUGAAACGCGUCAUAGAAACCUAUAAAUUGUCCAAACUGGAAAUUCAGCCUUCACGUAAAGAGAGUCUGGACAUUGUAAAUGCGCCUAAGGACGGUUCUGGCGAUUUUUCCAAAAAAGUCUCAGUUCCCAUCCAGUCAACUGACUAUGAAGAGGAACUGAGCCCUGAAGACAUGCAGAUGUUCGAGCAGGAGAAUGAGCAUUUAUACAAUGAACUAAACAGCAUUUCAGAUGAGGUGAAACAAAUGGAGAGCAAAGUGGUUCACAUAGCAGAACUACAAGAAUUGUUCACAGAAAAAGUUCUACAGCAGGAAAAGGACAUUGAAAGAAUUUCUUAUAGUGUAGUGGAUUCAACUGAAAAUGUGAAGGACGCGAACGAGCAAAUUAGGCAAGCUAUCCAAAGGAACGCUGGCUUGAGAGUGUAUGUUUUAUUCUUUUUGCUAGUCAUGUCUUUUAGUCUGCUAUUUUUGGAUUGGUAUAAUGAUUAGAAAUCGCUGGGUUAGAUUUGGGGAUUUCAAACGUUUGGAGAGUGGAAAUGGUGGUGAUAUAGAAAUAUAUCCGUUUGUUGGUGCAUUCUACGUUUAAUCACCACCUUAUCUUAUUCAAAUUCUGGAAUGUCAUCAAAAGAAAACCCCGGGAUUUCCUUAUACGCGUAAUAAGCGAUUCUAACGUGAUAAGCCCCCGGUAUAAACAUGAUGAUUCCAAUGAUAAUCAUUGGCCACAUUCGGUCUGGAUACUCCAAUUGGAUGCGGCCACUAAUGGCCAAGGAACCAAACACCAAAAGGCUGGUUCCGAUUACUGAAAGCAGGUUGAAAUCCUACAGGGUGUGUGGCUGAAACGAGACACUUACCCAACAGCGUGGUGGCCAAUGCAAUGGCUUUCCAUGGAAUUUUUUGGGCUGGGCCCUGAAACUGGGCAUCUACAAACCCAUUAUCUCUGGUUGGUAGUUUUGAGUAGUCUUGAUUUUUGUUCCUUCGUCGCGCAAUGUCAUCGAAAUAGUCUAAAAACUGUACUGUUCAAUAAAUCAAUUGGAUU
rnacentral:misc_RNA from 1 species